rnacentral:lncRNA from 1 species
CUGACCUCGUCAUCUCCCGCCUAGGCCUCCCAAAGUGCUGGGAUUACAGGCGUAAGCCACCGCGCCCGGCCGAGAUCUUUAAUUUUUUUUAAGGCCAAACUUUUUCCUGUCUCUUAGCAACCAGCUGUGGAUCUUACACAUUUGUGGUUCAUAAAAUAUUUAGUGGGUCCAAGUAUGGAUGUCUGUGUUCAAAGGAUAGUUAAGAUCAGGAUCCAAGUAAAGUUCAAGGUCAUUGUGAAUGGUUAAGGUCAGCUAGAUUCAGGUAUAAACUUAGGGGAGGUAUAAACUUAUGGCCAGGACAAUGUUCAGGGUUGGCUUCAGAUUCAGAUUCAGGGCCAUGAAAAGCACCAGUGUACUGGAUUCAAAAUCAAUCAAAGUCAGUUUCAAGGACAAGUUUAAAAUGAGGGCAAAACAUGGUCAGGGUGAUGGUUAGGGUGAGGACAAGGGUCAGAAUUAGGGCUAGAUUCAAAUUCAAGGUCAAGUUCAUGCUUAUUUCAGCUUAAGGUCAGGAUGACUGUAUAUGAGAUUCAAGAUCAGGAUCAACACGCCUGUAAUCCCAGCACUUUCGAAGGCCAAAGUGAGCGAAUCAUUUGAGGUCGCGAGUUUGAGACCAGCCCAGCUAACAUGGUGAAACUGCCUACUAAAAAAUACAAAAUGUAGCUAGGUGUGGUGGUGCACACCUGUAAUCCCAGCUACCCAGAGGGCUGAGGCAGGAGAAUCGCUUGAACCUGGGAGGCGGAGGUUGCGGUGAGCCAAGAUCACGCGACUGCACUCCAGCCUGGGCCUCCGUCUCAAAAAAAAGAAAAAAGUCAAGGUCUGGACACAUGGGUCAGUUUCAAAGUUAAUCCAAGGUCACCUCAAGGGGAUCACGGUCAGGAUGAUCGUUAAGUGUAAAUCGAUUAGAAUGAGUCUCAUGUGGUA